GUCGAACGCUUUGUGGUUCAACUGAUUUGAAGAGCUUGCUCAGAUAUGACGAUGGACAUUGCAAAGAGUGGCGAACGGGUGAGUAACACGUGGGAAACCUACCUCUUAGCAGGGGAUAACAUUUGGAAACAGAUGCUAAUACCGUAUAACAAUGACAACCGCAUGGUUGUUAUUUAAAAGAUGGUUCUGCUAUCACUAAGAGAUGGUCCCGCGGUGCAUUAGCUAGUUGGUAAGGUAAUGGCUUACCAAGGCGAUGAUGCAUAGCCGAGUUGAGAGACUGAUCGGCCACAAUGGGACUGAGACACGGCCCAUACUCCUACGGGAGGCAGCAGUAGGGAAUCUUCCACAAUGGGCGAAAGCCUGAUGGAGCAACGCCGCGUGUGUGAUGAAGGGUUUCGGCUCGUAAAACACUGUUGUAAGAGAAGAAUGACAUUGAGAGUAACUGUUCAAUGUGUGACGGUAUCUUACCAGAAAGGAACGGCUAAAUACGUGCCAGCAGCCGCGGUAAUACGUAUGUUCCAAGCGUUAUCCGGAUUUAUUGGGCGUAAAGCGAGCGCAGACGGUUAUUUAAGUCUGAAGUGAAAGCCCUCAGCUCAACUGAGGAAUUGCUUUGGAAACUGGAUGACUUGAGUGCAGUAGAGGAAAGUGGAACUCCAUGUGUAGCGGUGAAAUGCGUAGAUAUAUGGAAGAACACCAGUGGCGAAGGCGGCUUUCUGGACUGUAACUGACGUUGAGGCUCGAAAGUGUGGGUAGCAAACAGGAUUAGAUACCCUGGUAGUCCACACCGUAAACGAUGAGUGCUAGGUGUUUGAGGGUUUCCGCCCUUAAGUGCCGCAGCUAACGCAUUAAGCACUCCGCCUGGGGAGUACGACCGCAAGGUUGAAACUCAAAGGAAUUGACGGGGACCCGCACAAGCGGUGGAGCAUGUGGUUUAAUUCGAAGCAACGCGAAGAACCUUACCAGGUCUUGACAUCCCUUGACAACUCCAGAGAUGGAGCGUUCCCUUCGGGGACAAGGUGACAGGUGGUGCAUGGUUGUCGUCAGCUCGUGUCGUGAGAUGUUGGGUUAAGUCCCGCAACGAGCGCAACCCUUAUUACUAGUUGCCAGCAUUCAGUUGGGCACUCUAGUGAGACUGCCGGUGACAAACCGGAGGAAGGUGGGGAUGACGUCAAAUCAUCAUGCCCCUUAUGACCUGGGCUACACACGUGCUACAAUGGCGUAUACAACGAGUUGCCAACCCGCGAGGGUGAGCUAAUCUCUUAAAGUACGUCUCAGUUCGGAUUGUAGGCUGCAACUCGCCUACAUGAAGUCGGAAUCGCUAGUAAUCGCGGAUCAGCACGCCGCGGUGAAUACGUUCCCGGGUCUUGUACACACCGCCCGUCACACCAUGAGAGUUUGUAACACCCAAAGCCGGUGGGGUAACCUUCGGGAGCCAGCCGUCUA
rnacentral:rRNA from 1 species